rnacentral:rRNA from 1 species
GAUGAACGCUAGCGGCAGGCCUAACACAUGCAAGUCGAGGGGUAGAGGAAGCUUGCUUCCUUGAGACCGGCGCACGGGUGCGUAACGCGUAUGCAAUCUACCUUUUACAGAGGGAUAGCCCAGAGAAAUUUGGAUUAAUACCUCAUAGUAUUUUCGAAUGGCAUCAUUUGAUUAUUAAAGUUCCAACGGUAAAAGAUGAGCAUGCGUCCUAUUAGCUAGAUGGUAAGGUAACGGCUUACCAUGGCAACGAUAGGUAGGGGUCCUGAGAGGGAGAUCCCCCACACUGGUACUGAGACACGGACCAGACUCCUACGGGAGGCAGCAGUGAGGAAUAUUGGACAAUGGGCGCAAGCCUGAUCCAGCCAUGCCGCGUGCAGGAAGACGCAUCUAUGGUGCGUAAACUGCUUUUGUACGGGAAGAAACACUCCCUCGUGAGGGAGCCUGACGGUACCGUAAGAAUAAGGAUCGGCUAGCUCCGUGCCAGCCGCCGCCGUAA